rnacentral:lncRNA from 1 species
UGACAUCUUGAAUUUCCUAGAAACUGAGUGACAUCCGAUGCAUGACCAACAUUCAUCGGAAGCAAUACAAACCUGCAUAUUAUGUACACUCUCCUAAGUUGAAUCCUGAAUUUAGUAAGACAAAAUGGGACAAUUCAAGAUAUAGCAACCUUCAAAUCCAUUACCCUUCAGUACUUGUACCUCCAAAUCCCUCGGUCACUAAUAGAACCAUGCUGUCGAAUGCUUGUGCAGUAAAGUUCACAGCAUGUCUGACAUCUAAAGCUUUACCUAGUUCAACAAAAUUCAUCACUGGAGCACCAGCUAGACGGGCCCUGCUACUUCCCGAUUUGUUGCAUGACACUCAUGGAAAUCCCACUGGAUCGGGGAACAUAAAN